UAUUUUCUCUCUUUACAUUUUCAGUUUCUGGUGGGCUUUACAACUUGGAAAGUCUUUUCCUUUCCUGAGUUGGGUCCCCGUUCUUAAUAUGUGUCCAACCUUCAUAAGGUUGUUCAAGCAAGGAAAGCAAGUACGCUAUUGGCCCUGGCAAUGCUUUACCAUUGUUGUUGAAGGAAAGCUCUGUUUUGUAAUUCAAGACCACAUUAGAUUACUAGGUCCAAUAUUUUUUAAGAACUUUAACGAAAAGCACCUGGUACUGUUCACUUUAACGAAAAACCAUAUUUUUACACU